GAUGAACGCUGGCGGCACGCCUAACACAUGCAAGUCGAGCGGCAGCGAGACUAGUAGCAAUACUAGUUGUCGGCGAGCGGCGGACGGGUGAGUAACACGUAGGAAUCUGCCCUUAAGCGGGGGAUAACCAAGGGAAACUUUGGCUAAUACCGCAUAAUCUCGAGAGAGCAAAGCUGCCCGCAAGGGUGGCACUUGAGGAGGAGCCUGCGUCCGAUUAGCUAGUUGGUGGGGUAAUGGCCUACCAAGGCGAUGAUCGGUGACUGGUCUGAGAGGACGACCAGUCACACUGGGACUGAGACACGGCCCAGACUCCUACGGGAGGCAGCAGUGGGGAAUAUUGGACAAUGGGGGCAACCCUGAUCCAGCGAUGCCGCGUGAGUGAAGAAGGCCUUCGGGUCGUAAAGCUCUUUAGGUUGGGAAGAAGGGUAUUGGCUGAAUAAUCCAGUACUUUGACGGUACCGACAGAAUAAGCACCGGCAAACUCUGUGCCAGCCGCCGCUGUAAAAC
rnacentral:rRNA from 1 species